rnacentral:rRNA from 1 species
CCUACGGGAGGCAGCAGUGGGGAAUAUUGCACAAUGGGGGAAACCCUGAUGCAGCGACGCCGCGUGAGCGAUGAAGUAUUUCGGUAUGUAAAGCUCUAUCAGCCGGGAAGAAAAUGACGGUACCUGUCUAAGAAGCCCCGGCUAACUACGUGCCAGCAGCCGCGGUAAUACGUAGGGGGCAAGCGUUAUCCGGAUUUACUGGGUGUAAAGGGAGCGUAGACGGCGGUGCAAGCCAGAUGUGAAAGCCUGGGGCUCAACCCCGGGACUGCAUUUGGAACUGUGCUGCUAGAGUGUCGGAGAGGCAAGCGGAAUUCCUAGUGUAGCGGUGAAAUGCGUAGAUAGUAGGAGGAACACCAGUGGCGAAGGCGGCCUGCUGGACGAUGACUGACGUUGAGGCUCGAAAGCGUGGGGAGCAAACAGGAUUAGAUACCCCGGUAGUC